rnacentral:snRNA from 1 species
GGAUGUGAGGGGGACCAAGAUGCACUAUCUAUCACCUCAUUGAUCUCCAGUGUUUAUUUAGUUGUUCUAACUGGCUAUGCAAGUGACCCCCUUCCUGCUCUUGGCCAAAGAGGUUGAUGUGCCAAUAUAGAGGUCUUCAGUCACCGUUAUACAAGAAACUGUGUUCCCUGCUAGAACCUCCAAAUGAGCUCUCAUCUCAUCAGAUGUAACAGAAUCUUCCAUUUAUUUUAUGUGAUAGCUUGAAU